UGCUUUUCUACUGAACACACGAGUUGAUUUCCUCACUAUCACUGUGUCUGAACAGGAACGAUGAUCUCACUCUUUGUGGCGCUUUACUCUCUGCUUUGUCUCUGCACAGCUGUAAAAACAUCUGACAUCAAGGAGCUUCACGUGAGAACAGUAAAGAGUGGAGAAGAUGUAACUAUAGCGUGUGAUCUCAGUAUGAUCACAGACAAAAGUAAAGGAGUCUGGUACAGACAGAGUUUUGGAAAAGUGCCUCAGUUUUUUGCAAAACGUUACAAAAGUAUUUCAAAAUACACUUUUGAUACAGGAUUUAAUGAUAAUCGCUUCAGUUUUACUGUAAAUGAGCAUCAGUUUGAUCUCAACAUUACGAACCUGAGAGAAGAUGAUGGAGGAGAAUAUUUCUGUGGAGAAAUGGAGGAACUACAAUAAAGUUCACAUCUGGAGCACGUCUGCAAUUUGAAGGAAACACCACCACAGAUUGUGUUACACACCAGGAUUCAAAUAGCAAAGAGGAAAAACGAGAUAAUUGGAUGAUUUUUGCCUUAGUGACCUUCAGUAUAAUAUCUGUUAUUGUAAUGGUGGUACUGGUUGGACUUUUAUUAAAAAAUCUUAGAAAAGGUGCUUCAUCACGAAAGCCUGAAAUCAGCAGCAAUCAGGCUGAUGAUGAAGAUGUCUUGAACUAUGCAGCUGUGAGUUUUGCUAAGAAACCUUCAUCCUCCAGAACAUCCAGAGACCAGAGACAUGAAGACGUUUAUGCACAAGUUCAAAUCAAAUAGAUCCAAAGAAAUGACUU